rnacentral:guide_RNA from 1 species
UAUAAAAUAACAUGAUGAUGGUCUCGAUAGUAAUAUGAUGAUAUAAUUAAUUAAU